AGGACUAACGCUGGCGGCGUGCCUAACACAUGCAAGUCGAACGAGGUAGCAAUACCUAGUGGCAGACGGGUGAGUAACGCGUGGUCAACCUACCGUUGAGUGGGGGAUAACUAGCCGAAAGGUUAGCUAAUACCGCAUACGUCUCCGAGGGGCAUCCCUUGGCGAUAAAAGGAGCAAUCCGCUCGAUGACGGGACCGCGUCCCAUUAGCUAGAUGGUGGGGUAACGGCCUACCAUGGCACCGAUGGGUAGCUGGUUUGAGAGAGCGACCAGCCACACUGGGACUGAGAAACGGCCCAGACUCCUACGGGAGGCAGCAGUGAGGAAUUUUCCGCAAUGGGCGCAAGCCUGACGGAGCGACGCCGCGUGUGGGAAGAAGGCCUUCGGGUCGUAAACCACUGUCGAAGGGGACGAUAAUGACGGUACCCUUGGAGGAAGCCCCGGCUAACUACGUGCCAGCAGCCGC
rnacentral:rRNA from 1 species